rnacentral:RNase_P_RNA from 1 species
GACAGACAGAAGGUGGCCGCCCCGCGAUAGCGGGGAGGAAAGUCCGGGCUCCGGAGGAUAGCGCGCUCAGUAAUACUGAGGCCUGUGCCGGUCUUGAACUUUGGGAGUCGGCGCGGGAUGGAAAGUGCCACAGAAAAUAAACUACCUGUGCGCUGUAAAGCGCAUGGGCAAAGGUGAAAAGGUAGUGUAAGAGACUACCGUAGGCUGCAGCGAUGCCGCCUGCAAGGAAAACCCCACGCGGAGCAAGGCGAAAUAGGAGACAAGCCGAUUUUUUUCGGGCGCGUGCUGAUCCGGCACGCCAUAAGUCUCGGGUAAGCUGCUUGAGUCUCGGCGGAAACGCCGGGAGUGAGAGGAAUGGUCACCAGGACGUGAAAAAUCACAUCCAGACAAAACCCGGCUUAUCUCUGCCUGUCCUUU